rnacentral:misc_RNA from 1 species
AAGGAUCAUUAUCGAAUAAACUUGUGCAGGCUGUUUUGCUGGCCAUCUUUGAAGGAUGGCAUGUGCACGCUUGUCAUCUUUAUCUCUCCAAUCUGUGCACAUAUUGUAGACCAGGAGUUCUUGUUGAUUCGUUUCAACGAGUUUGGACUGCUUCAAAUAGCUUUUCCUUGCAUUUACCAGGUCUAUGUCAUUUUUUCACAACCUCUUCAUGUGUCUAGAAUGUAUACAAGUUAAAACAAUACAACUUUCAGCAACGGAUCUCUUGGCUCUC